rnacentral:rRNA from 1 species
GUGCCAGCCGCCGCGUAAUACGCUAGGGCGCAAGCGUUAUCCGGAAUUAUUGGGCGUAAAGAGCUCGUAGGCGGUUUGUCGCGUCUGCCGUGAAAGUCCGGGGCUUAACCCCGGAUCUGCGGUGGGUACGGGCAGACUAGAGUGCAGUAGGGGAGACUGGAAUUCCUGGUGUAGCGGUGAAAUGCGCAGAUAUCAGGAGGAACACCGAUGGCGAAGGCAGGUCUCUGGGCUGUAACUGACGCUGAGGAGCGAACGCAUGGGGAGCGAACAGGAUUAGAUACCCUGGUAGUCCAUGCCGUAAACGUUGGGCACUAGGUGUGGGGGACAUUCCACGUUUUCCGCGCCGUAGCUAACGCAUUAAGUGCCCCGCCUGGGGAGUACGGCCGCAAGUCUAAAACUCAAAGGAAUUGACGGGGGCCCGCACAAGCGGCGGAGCAUGCGGAUUAAUUCGAUGCAACGCGAAGAACCUUACCAAGGCUUGACAUGAACCGGAAUGAUGCAGAGAUGUGUCAGCCACUUGUGGCCGGUUUACAGGUGGUGCAUGGAUGUCGUCAGCUCGUGUCGUGAGAUGUUGGGUUAAGUCCCGCAACGAGCGCAACCCUCGUUCCAUGUUGCCAGCGGGUUAUGCCGGGACUCAUGGGAGACUGGCGGGGUCAACUCGGAGCAGGUGGGACGACGUCAAUCAUCAUGCCCCUUAUGUCUGGCUCACGCAUGCUACAUGACGUACGAGGUGCGAUACUGUGAGUGGAGCUAUCCUAAAGCGUCUCAGUCCGAAUGAGUCUGCACCGACUCAUGAGGUGAGUCGCUAGUA